rnacentral:tRNA from 1 species
CAGAACGUGGCGAAGGUUGGCAUCGCGCCUGGUUUGGGACCAGGAACGACCAAUCCGGCCUCCGGCCGAUCGGUGCCCGCGGUUCGAAUCCGGCCGUUCUGA